rnacentral:rRNA from 1 species
GAUGAACGCUAGCGGGAGGCUUAACACAUGCAAGUCGAGGGGCAGCACGUCCCGACGCAAGUCGGGAUGGUGGCGACCGGCGCACGGGUGAGUAACGCGUAUGCAACCUGCCCUGUACCGGAGGAUAACCCGGAGAAAUUCGGACUAAUACUCCAUAAAGAUAUUUUGAGGCAUCUUAAGAUAUUUAAAGCCACGGUGGUACGGGAUGGGCAUGCGUAACAUUAGCUAGUUGGCAGGGUAACGGCCUACCAAGGCAUCGAUGUUUAGGGGACCUGAGAGGGUGAACCCCCACACUGGUACUGAGACACGGACCAGACUCCUACGGGAGGCAG